GUUACAGUGUCCGAAAAGAUUCUUUUGAAACUGAUGUCAAAGAGUGUACUGCCUAUAUUCUCUUCCAAAAGACUUAUUGUCUCAGGCCUAAUCUUUAGGUCUUUGAUCCAUUUUGAGUUUAUUUUGGUGUGUGGUGAUAAUUCUUUUUUCUUUUAUCUGUUCAGUUUGGGUGAUUUCCUCUAGUUUUUCAUCCAGCUCACUGCUCAGUUCUUCUAUAUCACCUACUCUGCUAUUGAGUCCCUCUAGUGAAUUUUUCACUUCCAAUAUUGUAUUCUUCAUUUCUGAUUGGUUCUUUUUUAUAUUUUCCAGUUCUUUGUUGAUGUUGUCAAUGUAUUCAUCCAUUCUUCUCCCAAGAUUGGACUAGUCUAUUCCUAUCCAUCAUCCAUUCCUCUGUUGGGUCCCAGUCACGAACCUAAGAGGGUAGAGAAAAAGAUCCUUUCCCUCCCCAACAAUUUCUAAAAUGGAGAUUAUAAUAUCUACCCCAGAGAAUUAGCCUUAACAAUUAAAUGAAUGUGGAAUGUUUGGCCCAUAAGUUUCACCGCUUAUGAUGAAGAGAAUGAGAAUACUGCCUACUUCAGUCCUGUGCAAAGAAAUGCAGGUACCCAGAGGGUUCACAGAUAAUCAC
rnacentral:lncRNA from 1 species